UACGUAGGUGGCAAGCGUUGUCCGGAUUUACUGGGCGUAAAGGGCGUGCAGGCGGUCUGUUAAGUUCAGGGUGAAAGCUCCCGGCUCAACUGGGAGAGGUCCUCGGAUACUGGCAGACUUGAGGAGGGUAGAGGAGAGUGGAAUUCCCGGUGUAGUGGUGAUAUGCGUAGAUAUCGGGAGGAACACCAGUGGCGAAGGCGGCUCUCUGGGCCCUACCUGACGCUGAGACGCGAAAGCGUGGGGAGCGAACCGG
rnacentral:rRNA from 1 species